UACCAGACUCCUACGGGAGGCAGCAGUGGGGAAUAUUGGGCAAUGGGGGAAACCCUGACCCAGCGACGCCGCGUGAGGGAAGAAGGUUUUCGGAUUGUAAACCUCUGUCCUUGGUGACGAUAAUGACGGUAGCCAAGGAGGAAGCCACGGCUAACUACGUGCCAGCAGCCGCGGUAAUACGUAGGGGGCAAGCGUUAUCCGGAAUUACUGGGUGUAAAGGGAGCGUAGACGGUGAUGCAAGUCUGGAGUGAAAGGCGGGGGCCCAACCCCCGGACUGCUCUGGAAACUGUAUGACUUGAGUGCAGGAGAGGUAAGCGGAAUUCCUAGUGUAGCGGUGAAAUGCGUAGAUAUUAGGAGGAACACCAGUGGCGAAGGCGGCUUACUGGACUGUAACUGACGUUGAGGCUCGAAAGCGUGGGGAGCAAACAGGAUUAGAUACCCCUGUAAA
rnacentral:rRNA from 1 species